UCGAGCAGACCUGUGCCGCUCCGCAGAGCGAGUUCGCCCAAAUAAAAAAAGAAUUAUACGAAAUUCCGCCUGUGCUGUGUUAGGAGCAGAGAAAAGAAUAAUUUUAAACCAACAUACACAAUCAGUUAGUUUCCACCGACAGUCCGCAGAAACCAUUCGACGACAACGGUACUCGCGCGCGAUUGUCGGCAAUCCGAAAGAUAGCCAAAUAUUAUUAUUCUUCAGAUACUCACCGAGGGCGUUGAUUAAAGAUCACCCAGACAACUGCAGAUCCGAGUGAAGUGCUUUCAAAUCACUAAACAAAAAUUCUGUGUGAAAAAUCGUGCGUUAAUUAAUUUUCAAAAAUACAAGCUCCCUGCGAAUUUCACCAGCUGGAGCAACCGAAGUGACCCACCCGCCAAGCAAAUCGAACCCAAAUCGAUCGGUCGAUCGAACGUGUGAAAAGGACUUUCGGUUUCAUUAAGAGUGCUGAUUUUCCCCGGCAAAGCGGACUUUUUGCGGAAUAAAUACCAAUACUAAUACAAAAAAACAACCGCCGUGGCAACUAUAACAAUAAAAACAACAUCACUGCAACAACAGCCGUGGCAUCUUCAUAGAUUUUGGCUCUCCUGAAGCAACAACUUCUGUCUGCACUUCGUAUAUGUACUUAUCACGUAGACAUAUAUACGCACAGAUAUAUAAAACAAAAAACGAUCGAUUCUCGUGCCAGCGCGUGUGAUUGUGUGCGUUCCCAUGUUGCAUAUAUAUAUGCACAAAAAAAUAUAUAUAUACAUAUAUAGUAUAUAUAACUAGAGCCGACUGUUGCGACGACUUUUCUAUAUAAUCGGCUAGUGAGCACGCAGACAUCGAAAAGGUGCACAAAUACACCAACAGAUGCGGGUAUAUAUGUAUUGCACAUAUAUCUAGCCAAAGCCAAAGUAGAAGAUAUAUAUAUAUGCGUAUAAGCUGAACGCGGCGCACUCUGCUCUGUUUUUUCUUUUAUAAUUACUUUUGUCUAAAAUUAGAAGACGUGUGUGUUGUGUGUGCCCCGUCCGUGUAUCCGUAUCCGUGAGAUACGCGUGAGUGUCCGCGUCUGCUAUAUCGCACAUCAUCAUCGCCGUACACCAUCCGCCGUCCAACAUCCACCAUCAUCAUCAACAUCAUCAUCACCACCAUCGUGGUCUUCGUCGUCGUCAUCGUCAUCAGAGAUCACAGAUCUGCGGCGGAGUGUGUGCCAGAAAAGACGACUCGUGAAUCAGACUACGGCUACGGCUACGACUACGGGUGCGACUACGGCUAUAUAGGCGAGAGAUCGCGUAUACGGCCAGACAAACAUUAUCGUAUAUCUGCUGGCGAGGAUUACAAUUACAAGAUCAGCAAACGCAACAGCAACAGCAGCAGCAACAGCAGCAGCAGCGGCAUCCGAAGCUAAAGCCGAAUACGAAUACGACUACGAGUUCGAGUGCGAGUACGAAUAUCCGAGCCGCACAACCGAAUACGUUUACGAAUACGAAUCCGAACACGAAUCGAGGCGAUACGAAACGAUCGCGCGCGUGAAAAGCCUCGUGAAGAAAAGCGCUACGAAACAAAAAGUGGGGGAAAAAUCAAACGCCACGCGACCUUAGGCCCGUCCAAUUUUGGGGGGGGUGGGCGUGCAGCGGGGCGUGGCCGUGCGUCGACUCCUAGCGAUCGCUCAAGUGAAACGCGGCGAAAUUCUGUUCAGAUAACAAAAAUGAGUCACCAAAAUAAGCAGCAACAGCAACAGCAGCAACAGAAGCAGCAGCAGCAGCAACAUCAAAAGCAACAGCAACUAUCGAGUGCGGCCAAGUGUUCAUAAAUUAAUGCUAGGCAUACAGUGUGUUAGACCAGUCCGAAAUACGCUAUCCCCUCUCUCUCUCGCUCUCGAACAGUCCGUCUCUCUCUCUUGCCCCUGCUGUCGCUCAAAAUGCUACGAAACUAUCGAAAGUAUUUGCAGGAUAAACGGAAAUACGACAAGCCACAACGACGAGGCAGCGAAUUUUACAUUUGUCACGUUUAGGCAAAUUGCAAGGACGCAGGACACAGGACACACCAACACCCCAGCAGCAGCAGCAGCAGAAGCAGCAUCACGCAGCAAUACGCAGCAGCAGCAGCAGCAACGCGCAGCAGCAGCAACACUCGCUAUCGAGAUUUUGUACAUAAAGUCGGGGCAAUAGCAGCAACAACUUUGGAGGACGCCAUGUAUGCGCAACAUUUGCGCAAAUGGAGUCUAAAAACAAAAAAGCAACUAAUGCCAUUGAUAUUGCUAAUUAUCAGCUACAUGUCAGCAACAUGUGUGUUGUCGUCGUCGGCGACGACGCAGCAGCUGCAGCUGCAGCAGCAUCUGCAGCAACAGCAGCAGCACCUUCCAAGAUUAUGGGAAGGCAGUGCCGAAGAAAGCAGCUACUAUAUACCACUGAGUUCGGAUAACGGCAGCGGGAGCAGUGAAAGCGCCGAGAGCGGCACCACCAGCAGCAGUAGCAGCAGCAGCAGCAGCAGCAGCAGUAGCAACAUCGACAACAAUAUCUUAAGUAGGCUGCUCAGCCGCAACAGCAAUAGUCUUAGUAGCCGUAGCAAUGUUAAGUUAAAGCCAGCAACAGUAUUCGACGCCGGCAGCAGUUCACCCGCUCAGCAGGAGCAACAUGUGGCUGCGGUGCCAGAGCAGCAGCAGCAGCAGCAGCAGCAGCAGCAGCAGCAGCAGCAGCAGCAGCAGCAGCAGCAACAGCAGCAGCAACAGCAGCAGCAGCAGUCAAUGCAAAAAGUUCCAAAUACUUUAAUCAAUAGUCAAAUAUAUAAUUUAUUAUACAAUGGCAUGCCCAGCGAGGCGGCGAGCAGCAAAAUGCGUCGUCACAUACAACCCACACAGCUGCCACAUCAGCCAGAGAGCUUGCCCCAAUUGCCGAGCAACUACAGCAGUCGGCCGGCGGUGCGCAGCUAUCUGAUAGAGUCCUAUGAGUUGCCAGUUAGCCAGCUGGAGGAGGAUCGCAGUGCGGAGCAGGCGGCGCGAAGUCGUCGGGAUGGCAGCGGCAAUGCCAAUGGCAGCCGGCAGAAACAUCGCAAUGGCCAUCGGAAGCAGUUGCAGCAGGACAGACGCGAUGAUCGCCGCCAGCGGCAGGAUCAGCAGGAGGAGCAGCGCCGCCAGCAGCAGCCGCAUCAGCAUCAGCAUCAGCACAAGAGCAGCAACAAGCAUCACCACCAGCAGCAGCAGCAGCGUGGGAAGCACCAGCGGAAUCGCCAGCGGAAUCACCAGCGAUCUGGACGGUACUGCUCCGCCCGGGAUCCCGCGCAACUGGCGUAUGCGGCGCCCACCGUUUUCCAGGGCGUCUUCAAGUCCAUGUCCGCCGAUCGGCGGGUGAACUUCUCGGCCACCAUGAAGGUUGAGCGCGUGUACAAGCAGCAGCACGACCUGCAGCUGCCCACACUGGUGCGACUGCAGUUCGCGCUGAGCAACUCCAGCGGCGAGUGCGACAUCUACAGGGAGCGACUGCUGCCGCGUGGCAUGCUGCGGUCCGGAAAUGAUCUGCAGCAGGCCUCGGAUAUAGCCUACAUGAUGUUCGUGCAGCAGACGAAUCCCGGCAACUUCACCAUCCUUGGCCAGCCCAUGAUGGUCACCGAGUCAGUGAUGAAAGCGGUCGAAUUGGCUGUGAGCGAAAACUAUGCACAGAACGCAUCAAUCGAGAGGAUCAAGAUGGAGCCGAAUAACACCACCAUCCGGGAUGGUGAGCAACUGAAGAUCAUCUGCAAGGUGUCGGGCUGGCCGCUCCCGAAGGUCACCUGGUUCAAGGACGACAAGUCCAUCAAUCGCAAGCGCAACAUUUACCAAUUCAAGCAUUACAAAAGACGUUCCGAGCUGAUAGUGCGCUCCUUCAAUAGUUCCUCCGAUGCGGGCAAGUACGAGUGCCGGGCCAAGAACAAGGCCAGCAAGGCGAUCGUCAAGCGCCGCAUCAUGAUCAAGCCCUCAGAAGUUCACUCUCCUCCACCAGACGGGUCAGGCUUGGGCACACCCUGCCAAUUCGAGUACUGCUUCCAUGAUGGCGACUGCAGGAUAAUCUCGGACAUCAACGAGGUCUAUUGUCGUUGCCCAAACGAAUACUUCGGCAAACGUUGCGAGAACAAAAGGCCCGACAGUAGGUACAGCUCUCCCGAAUCAUGCAAAAAUUAUCAGGGAGGUUAUUACUGCUAAAAUAGGCACUUCUAUAGCAUCGAUUGUUUUACGAGUCGAGUCGAGUCGAGUCAAACGCGAGUUAUACACAAUACCUAAACCGAAACAAACCGAAUCAAAUCAAAUCAAAUCAAAUCAAAUCAAUCAAACCGAACUCAGUGCCCAUACCAAAAUAACGAAUAACAUAAAGUAUAAUAAAAUAAAAAUACUAUAACUAAACAGAUCUAUCUGCAAAGUAGUACUACAACCUAAAAUAGUAAAAAGAUAUUUUGUUGCAAUCUACGGCCAAAUACAUACCUUAAAUAACGACUAUUAAUGCAUAGAAUUUGGUUUCAUUAUUUUUAUGAUUUUAUAAACAAAACGAAAAGCAAAAAACAAAAAAAUCGAACUCCCUGCACUCCAAAACAGACAAUUGUAAUUUUUUACGUUUAUUUAAAAAAUUAGAGAAUUCGUUGCACCAGCAGACCAUGCCCAAAAAAAAAACCCAUCACCGUUCUCAAAGUUUGCAACUACAAUGAAAACAUAUCCGAAAACAGAAAACAUUUCAAAAUUCGUACAAUUCCCCCCUCGCCUAGAGUUCCUUCCUACCGAGCGAAAAGUUCCAGAAAAGAUCCAGACUUUAGCUGACUUUAGCUACGUUCGUUUUUGUGCACGGUGACAGAAUAUCCGAAAUGUAUAAAUCUGAUGUAUGAAAUCUGAGCAGAAUUUUAAUUUAUUUAUUAUACGAAAUAUAUAACAUCUAAGUUCGAAGUUUGAGGUUCAAAGUUCGAAGUUCGAGAGCAAAGCAUUACCGAUUCGACCCUGACUUUGACACUGUUGCGCUUUUGUUGUUGUACCAUAGACAAUACUUUUAAAUUGAUAACAAAGGUUGACGUAGCCGAGAACUUUGUAAUAAAUCCUGUAAAUAGCUCUCGUUUUAACUAACGAUAAGUUUUGUGUACAUUUCAACUAAGGUAAUGCAAGCCCUUCUUUAACCGUAAUUUAUUGUAUUUAAUUACACCUAAAUUAAACGUAAUUCUAGCUAUAAGCUCACACACAAAUACACACACACCCACACAGCUACUUAAUUUCGAAAUACUAUAUUAUUUGUCCUCGAUUUUAAUUUGCGAUUUUGCAAUUUGAACACCAAAAUAUGUAAAAUGGCAAAUUAGUUAUUUUUUUCACCAUGUGUAUGUUGACAUCAGUUUCUAUGGCUAAGCGUAAAGCAAGGAAGUGCGUAGAGAUUAUUUUUAGUUAUUUUAAGU